AUUGAACGCUGGCGGCAGGCUUAACACAUGCAAGUCGAGCGAGCGGCGGACGGGUGAGUAAUGUCUGGGAAACUGCCUGAUGGAGGGGGAUAACUACUGGAAACGGUAGCUAAUACCGCAUACCAUCAGAUGUGCCAAGAUGGGAUUGGCUAGUAGGUGGGGUAAUGGCUCACCUAUGCGACGUUCCCUAGCUGGUCUGAGAGGAUGAUCAGCCACGCUGGGACUGAGACACGGCCCAGAUUCCUACGGGAGGCGGCAGGGGGGAAUAUUGCACAAUGGGCGCACGCCUGAUGCAGCCAUGCCGCGUGUAUGAAGAAGGCCUUCGGGUUGUAAAGUACUUUCAUUCGGGAGGCGUUACCGACAGAAGAAGCACCGGCUAACUCCGUGCCAGCAGCCGCGGUAAUAC
rnacentral:rRNA from 1 species